rnacentral:lncRNA from 1 species
CAUCCUUAUCUUUGUUGGCAUUUGAAGUUCUGUCUUUAUGGGAAGUGAUGCUGUAACCAAAUUUAUGAUGAAAAAAUGAGCUACCUACCUAGUAGAUGUCCUGCAGAGCUCAUCCAACUAGAACAAAAUAUUCCCCAUCGAAAUGAGAGUGGUAGAAGAAGAAAACAUCCCAAUGUGAAAUGUUUUCCUUUAGAGAUUUAUACCUAGCCCAAGAGAAGAAUAACCAAUUGCAACAUCAGAGGGGUUUAUAGUUCAGAUAUUUUCUUAGAAAAUUAAAAUCCACUUAUAAAAAUUAUCAGAAUAAAAACUGCCAAGGUUAAACCAAGGUUUUACUUAGGGUUAGGAUUGUAACAUUUACAUUAUUUUUGUGUGUAUGUGCUUUUUACAUUUUAAAAUCAUGAACCUAAGGAGUAAGUUGGAGAAAUAACAUAACUGAAAGCUAUUUUGUAGCAACCUAACAUUGCUACAGAACUGAAUUUCUCCUAGAAAUUCCUUAUAGUUAUUAUUUAAUGUAAGUACUAGAUUUAUGAAGGUAAGUUCAGAGAUCCAGAAAUGAACAUAAAAUCAAUUUCACUACUAAAGUAAAGACUAUAUGGAAGUUGUUUAAAAAAAAAAAUACAUUGAGUCCACUGGAUUGGACUCAGCAGUGAGCAAGACAGAAAUUGGUCCCUGAAUGUUAAAUUUAUCUGGUGAUCCAGGUGCAGUGAUGAAUUCCCAUAAUGCCAGUGGUUCAGGAGGCUGAGACGGAGGGUCACAAGUUCAAGGCCACCCCAGCAAUUUAAUGAAGCCCUAAGCAACUUAAUGAGAACUUAUUUCAAAAUAAAAAGGUCUGGAGUUGUGGCUCAGUGGUGGAGCACCUGCUAUAAGUACAGAAAAUAUAUAACAACAUAAACUUGAGGCACUAAUCUUAACCCUUGGCAGAAUUCAGUAUCACAACUAAUUUCUAAGGUACAAAAACAUGAAGCCUAUUAACUAGAAACCACUUUUUCAUGGGCAUUUUUCCAUAUGAGAGUUCAUAGCCUUCAAAGGAACACCAGCAAUAUUAACUGCACUCCUCCUAAGAAAGAGGAAAAAGAAAUCCAUUUAUUGUAUGUAUUACAGUGCACAUUAGUGCUCUCACCCCCGCCCCACCCCUGUGGGAUCUGUGUUGUCCAGGCUGUCCUCAAACAUCUGGGCUCAAGUAAUCCACCUGCUUCAGCCUCCCAAGUAAGCUGGGACUACUGGUACAUGCCACCACACCCAGCUCAAAGGAUUUUUUUAAAAUUUGUUUUAAUUGCUUUAGGUGAUUUUCAACUAAGAGUAUUCAAUAGAACCAUCUAAAAAUUCAGCCAAGAAGUAAUAGUGUACACCUGUAAUCCCAUCAUCGGGACAUUUGAGACAGGAGGAAUAUAAAUUCAAGGCCAGCCUGAGCAACUUAGAUUGUAUCUCAAAAUAAAAUACAGAGGGCUGGGAAUGUAGCUCAAUGGUAGUCUAGCAUGCACAAAGCCCUGAGUUCAAUUCCCAGUACUGCGCAAAAAAAAAAAAAAAAGUGUUUUUGGUAAGAUUUUUAGAAAUUUUUAAAACUUAAAAUUCUGAAACCCCAACCCCAGAUCUUCCAUGGAUUGAGGGAAUCUACGAUUCAGACAUUUUGACAGGUUCUCCAAGCAAGAAAGUGGCAGUUUUACACUGUCAGCUAUAAGUAAUUUAAACUUCUCUCCCUUUAAUUCCAACUCCAUGGUCAGGGUUUAUAUUAGAUUUCAAGGGUUUUCGCUAGAAAACUGCUAUCACCAGCAGGACUGCUAUCACCUCAGCACUCUUAAUUUUCCCCAGUAUGCCCAUUCCUUAAUCUGAAGAAUUCAUAUUACUUCACAAUGCUGACCUUCCUGAACUAGAGUGUCCUAAGUACAAACUAUAUCAUAUAUCAUGUUACUUAGUUCUGUAUGCAAAAAGUGUUGUAAUCUUAGCCAUCUAUAUGUGGGAUUCACUAACAAUCUCACAUUUUUCGAGUUCGUGAUUAUUUCUGGUGGAUUCUUUUAAAUGUUUUUUUUUAAGUUGUCGAUGGACCUUUAUUUAUUCAUUUAUAUGUGGUGCUGAUAAUCAAACCUAGUAUUUCACACAUGCUAGACAAGUGUUCUAUCACUGAACCACAACCCCAGGCCCUCUGGUGGAUUCUUUUAUAAAUAAAUAAAUGUGCUAAACAUUAAAACAUUAUUAAAAGGGUUUAAAGUGAACUUUCUCCCCACCAAGAACUCUCUCUGUUUAAAUCUAUAUGGUCAAUACAGUCAAAAUAUCAUUCAGAGUGUGCAAGGGCUUACUGAUGCUUAUUUCCAUUCCUCCAAGGCUCAUCUAUCAUCCCAUGACAGCUUUCAGAGAGGAGGUUAAUCUUUGUCCAAUAAAGAAACCGAAAUGGACAACAUCCAAAUUAGUCAUUUCCAGUUAGUACAGUUUUGGGAAAAUAUACUCAACUUCUAGGCUAUAUAAAAUAUCCAUUAAGAGAAAGCUCAAGUGAGAAAAAAGUUCUUAUCUAAAAGGUGACUCAUUUUUUUAGACUGAUCUAAAUGAAAAUGGUAAAUCGGGGGGUUUUUUUGGCGGGGGAGGGGGGACAUGGUUCUAUAUCCAACUUCAGUUAUACUAUAACUUCCAUAAUAUUUACCAAAUAGAAAUAAAUUAUGAAAAAUCUUGUUGCUACUUUGCAUAUCUUGUAUUGCAGAACACAGUAAGUUGACUGCAUAAAAAAAUUUUGAGAAACAUGAAUAAAUGAACAUUCCAUUACUGAGUCUUUUGAGUAAUAAUAUAAACAGUAAUAAUAUAAAAUAAUGUAAUGUAUCUGACAAAAAUAAUUGUCUUAAGUCUGUUCGUGCUGAUUUAACAAAAUAAAUGUCAUGCACUUGAAUAAUAAUGUGGC